rnacentral:rRNA from 1 species
UACAGAGGUGCCAAGCGUUGUUCGGAAUUAUUGGGCGUAAAGCGCGUGUAGGCGGCUUUGCAAGUCGGGUGUGAAAGCCCUCGGCUCAACCGAGGAAGUGCGCCCGAAACUGCAGAGCUUGAGUACCGGAGAGGAUGGCGGAAUUCCCCAAGUAGAGGUGAAAUUCGUAGAUAUGGGGAGGAACACCGGUGGCGAAGGCGGCCAUCUGGACGGAUACUGACGCUGAGACGCGAAAGCGUGGGUAGCAAACAGG